rnacentral:rRNA from 1 species
UGGGGAAUAUUGCACAAUGGGCGAAAGCCUGAUGCAGCGACGCCGCGUGAGGGAUGACGGCCUUCGGGUUGUAAACCUCUUUCAGCAGGGAAGAAGCGAAAGUGACGGUACCUGCAGAAGAAGCGCCGGCUAACUACGUGCCAGCAGCCGCGGUGACACGUAGGCACCAAGCGUUGUCCGGAUUUAUUGGGCGUAAAGAGCUCGUAGGCGGUUCGGUAAGUCGGGUGUGAAAACUCUGGGCUCAACCCAGAGACGCCACCCGAUACUGCUGUGACUUGAGUACGGUAGGGGAGUGGGGAAUUCCUGGUGUAGCGGUGAAAUGCGCAGAUAUCAGGAGGAACACCAGUGGCGAAGGCGCCACUCUGGGCCGUAACUGACGCUGAGGAGCGAAAGCGUGGGUAGCAAA